rnacentral:rRNA from 1 species
AGGCCAGACUCCUACGGGAGGCAGCAGUGGGGGAUAUUGCACAAUGGGGGAAACCCUGAUGCAGCGACGCCGCGUGAGCGAUGAAGUAUUUCGGUAUGUAAAGCUCUAUCAGCAGGGAAGAAAAUGACGGUACCUGACUAAGAAGCCCCGGCUAACUACGUGCCAGCAGCCGCGGUAAUACGUAGGGGGCAAGCGUUAUCCGGAUUUACUGGGUGUAAAGGGAGCGUAGACGGCGGCGCAAGCCAGAUGUGAAAGCCCGGGGCUCAACCCCGGGACUGCAUUUGGAACUGUGCCGCUAGAGUGUCGGAGAGGCAGGCGGAAUUCCUAGUGUAGCGGUGAAAUGCGUAGAUAUUAGGAGGAACACCGGCGGCGAAGGCGGCCUGCUGGACCGUAACUGACGUUGAGGCUCGAAAGCAUGGGGAGCAAACAGGAUUAGAUACCCCCGUAC